rnacentral:rRNA from 1 species
GGAGUUAGGAAAUGCAGGAGCGUUAAUAGCGUUCUUGCUUGACUAAGGCUCCAGAGGAAGCCACGGCUAACUCUGUGCCAGCAGCCGCGGUAAUACAGAGGCGGCAAGCGUUGUUCGGAAUUAUUGGGCGUAAAGAGCACGUAGGCGGCCUUGCAAGUCAGUUGUGAAAGCCUUCCGCUCAACGGAAGAAUGCCAGCUGAUACUACAGGGCUUGAGUACGGGAGGGGAGAGUGGAACUUCUG